AGAGUUUGAUCAUGGCUCAGAACGAACGCUGGCGGCAGGCUUAACACAUGCAAGUCGAACGCAUCCUUCGGGGUGAGUGGCAGACGGGUGAGUAACGCGUGGGAACGUGCCCUUCAGUUCGGAAUAACCCAGGGAAACUUGGGCUAAUACCGGAUACGUGCGAGAGCAGAAAGAUUUAUCGCUGAAGGAUCGGCCCGCGUCUGAUUAGCUAGUUGGUGAGGUAAUGGCUCACCAAGGCGACGAUCAGUAGCUGGUCUGAGAGGAUGAUCAGCCACAUUGGGACUGAGACACGGCCCAAACUCCUACGGGAGGCAGCAGUGGGGAAUAUUGGACAAUGGGCGCAAGCCUGAUCCAGCCAUGCCGCGUGAGUGAUGAAGGCCUUAGGGUUGUAAAGCUCUUUCGGCGGGGACGAUAAUGACGGUACCCGCAGAAGAAGCCCCGGCUAACUUCGUGCCAGCAGCCGCGGUAAUACGAAGGGGGCUAGCGUUGUUCGGAAUCACUGGGCGUAAAGGGCGCGUAGGCGGCCUGAUAAGUCGGGGGUGAAAGCCUGUGGCUCAACCACAGAAUUGCCUUCGAUACUGUCUGGCUUGAGACCGGAAGAGGUAAGUGGAACUGCGAGUGUAGAGGUGAAAUUCGUAGAUAUUCGCAAGAACACCAGUGGCGAAGGCGGCUUACUGGUCCGGUUCUGACGCUGAGGCGCGAAAGCGUGGGGAGCAAACAGGAUUAGAUACCCCCGUAGUCC
rnacentral:rRNA from 2 species